GACGAACGCUGGCGGCGUGCUUAACACAUGCAAGUCGAACGGAAAGGCCCUGCUUUUGUGGGGUGCUCGAGUGGCGAACGGGUGAGUAACACGUGAGUAACCUGCCCUUGACUUUGGGAUAACUUCAGGAAACUGGGGCUAAUACCGGAUAGGAGCUCCUGCUGCAUGGUGGGGGUUGGAAAGUUUCGGCGGUUGGGGAUGGACUCGCGGCUUAUCAGCUUGUUGGUGGGGUAGUGGCUUACCAAGGCUUUGACGGGUAGCCGGCCUGAGAGGGUGACCGGCGACAUUGGGACUGAGAUACGGACCAGACUCCUACGGGAGGCAGCAGUGGGGAAUAUUGCACAAUGAGCGGAAGCCUGAUGCAGCAACGCCGCGUGCGGGAUGACGGCCUUCGGGUUGUAAACCGCUUUCGCCUGUGACGAAGCGUGAGUGACGGUAAUGGGUAAAGAAGCACCGGCUAACUACGUG
rnacentral:rRNA from 1 species